UGGAAUUUUUUUUUUUUGAAAGAAUAAAAAUGAAAGAUUUGUUCACAAGAAACAAAAAAAUCAUAUGUGACAGUGACAGCAUAUGUAAUUCUUCCAAAUAGUAACUACAAAAUACCUCAUGUAUGAUUAGCCAAAAUAUGUUUGUGAAUUGAUAUGUUUUUACAGAUUCUUUUCUUUCUCGUGUUAAAUCCUUGGAUUAAAUUGUGACAAGUUGCAUUAUCAUUUAUUAUUUAGUGAGCGCAUCAUGCAUAGCUUGUUUGGACCUACUCAUUCACUCAUCUAAUUAAUUAAUUAAUGGUAUGAUUCAGGGAUUGCUGAGAGUAACAAGAGAAAAAGAGAUUGAAGUACUUGUGACUGAGAUUGAUGGCUUAAAAUUCAAAUUAACAGAUGGGUUGAUGUUGCACAUGAUGGUACUAUUUAUUUCACCGACGCUUCAUCAAAAUACUCAAUCAAGGAUUCUGUCCUAGAUAUAUUAGAAGGAAAACCUAAUGGUAGGUUUUUGAGUUAUAAUCCAGCAACAAAAAAGACAACCCUGCUAGUCAGUGACCUCUACUUUCCUAAUGGAGUUGCAGUCUCACCUGAUCAAAAUUUUGUGGUCUUUUGUGAAACCUCCAUGAUGAAUUGCAAGAAAUAUUACAUACAUGGAUCAAAAAAAGGUAGCACAGACAAGUUUUGUGACCUCCCUGGCAUGCCUGAUAACAUUCAUUAUGAGGUGGCAUUUACAAUGCACAAGACACAAAUUUGUGCAUCAUGCACAAAUUGUUUGAUGAAUGAAUAAUAGCCAUUGAUAUAUUAUUAAUUUAAAGGAACGGCCUAGAUUUCAUGAUGGCAACCUUCUCUUAACUUAUUGGUGUUAAACAUAUCACAAUAAAUUUGACCUCACAAAGAAUAUUUUAUGUACAUAAUUCCACCCCUACAUACCAUUGAAAAUUCCUAUUUUAUCCUCUUACCAUUUGAUUUCAUCUGCCGUCUACACUCAAUCCUGUUUUUUCAUCACCAUCUUUCGACAACAACCUCUCAUAUCCUUUUCCUGUCUUUCUCUUCCAGAUCUAGCUUUAAUUUAAUUUUGAAUUUUGAGUUUUAAAUUAUAUUCUUUUUCCUAUGCCCUAUUUAAAUUUUAACAAAAUCAAAAUAAUUGUUCUACUUCCACACAUUCAACAGAAGAGGAGCAUUUGAAGAGAGAGACCACCACUCACUUAUGACCCAUAAAUCUAUAGCUUUGAAAGAGGUGGAAGAAUAAUCCGUCAAUGUUGAAGAGAGUGAAUAAAGAAAAGAUGUGAGUUGUUUGAUUUGUUUGUAGAGAUGACAUUGCAAAAGGGCUUAUCGGUUCAGAUUUGAAAAAGAAAUAAAUUAUUCAACCUUCAAAAGUGGGAAAUGGAAUAAAAUCGAACACAUUUAUUCA